rnacentral:misc_RNA from 1 species
AAUUUGUGGAGUUGUUGUACAUAUUGAGCAUAAUAAUAUUCUUUCAGGUCGCGAGUCAUUUUCCCCCAAGGUGACUGGAUAUUGCGCAUCUGUUUCUUUAAGUACAAAUGAGGUCAUCUCUUUAAACCCGUCAUUGUGCACAGAGUGGAAACAGUUUGCAUGCUAUUCUUCAGGUAAGAAUAACGACUACAGCUGCCAAGAGGAUGUGUGUGUUUCUACGGAGAAGAUUCCGUGGACGACAGCUAAGGAGUCAUGUACCUUACUUAAACUAACAAAUUCAACUAAUGACAACCUCAAAGUACUCAUUGGAAGCGACGACUACUGGAUUGGCUUACGCGCGAUGUCUUCAAGUAAAUGGCUGAAUGGUAACGACGCCCAUGGCUAUGAAGAUAUAGUUCCUUCAGAGAACGUUGUAGACCCAAAAUGCUUAACCGUAUAUACAUCUUUGAUAUCCCCCAGACUGCGCCUUGAAUGGGCGAAUUGCAAUGGACGCCACAGACACAUAUGCAAUAUUGCGAGAAGCAUGACGAUACAGAUGGCGACAGGUAGAACAACAAGCAAGUCUCAAUCAACACAUUAUUCUAUAACAAAACAUAUGAGGACAACAUCCCAAACUUGGACAUCAUCGAAGAAGACCAUGAGUGAGAAAUCUGACACCUCGGAGAGCAAUUACGGUGUGUUUAUAGCAGUCGGGAUUGGAAGUACGGUACUUCUUACAGCCAUCGUUGUUUUGUGCCUGCUGAGAAGGAAAGGGAGGUGUUUCAAAAGAAAGGAUGACAUGCAGCAGAUCCGCUUCAACGGGACCGCUCAGGUUCAUGGUAUGGGGCAUGACACUGCAGAAUAUUCUGUCAUUGGUGGCAUUACAGAUACAUGUGUUAUGAAGUCUACAGACUGUCCUUCCAUUGACCCAAGUACAUGUAUAACACAGAACACUCGACCUGACAACUCCACCACAGACCCUGGGAAAACUGGGGAGUGUGACUAUAACAUUCUACAAGCACGAACUCAACAUGCUGUUCCGGAGACGCGUGGAAACCCUUACAGUCAUCUUGCGGGACCAGAUAGAUUUACAUGCAAAGGGGACUACGACACUGCAGAACAUAUUAAAGCUUCCAGGACUACUGGAUUGGAGAUCACAGUUGCACACACAGGACCUGCAGUGCGGAGACAGACCUGUGACGAGGAGGGACAGUACAACGUCCUCCGUCACUACACGUCCCAAGGACGGGAUGGUGUUGAUGCUGGUGUGUAUGAUCACGUAGGAUCGGGCGAGGGAGAUUAUGACACGACACAUCCAAUUAAGAACCCAAGAGAAGAUGAUGCGUACAGUCACAUUGUCAAAGUUAACAACUGAUUCGAAUAAACCGACCCGCCGGUGCUAACAGGAAACGCGUGUGAUACUUAGAAACCCAUUUUAGGAGCUGUGGGGGUAGUCUAGUGUUGGUGAGGUAGCCAGGCCGAGGAUCUGAGUUCGAUUCCUAACAUGGUACAAUGUGUGAGGCCCAUUUCUGGUAUCCACCACCGUGGCUUGGCCUAAGUAUGGCUCGAAGCGGCGUACAACCAUACUCAUCUACUAACUGAAUCAUACUUAUAGAAGAUUUACAGCAUAGUUUUCAAGGGCGCAAUCUCAGUUUGCGCCACAAUUCCCAACACUACAACUCCAUUCAUGACUCCAUGUAUCUACAAACAAAGUACUGUUUACAAAUGGGCUUGGGGAUCCCUGUUGCAUACACAUUGUUAGGUAUGGGUACACGUU